GUACUUAUAAACGCCUAGACUCUCGCUCCCUUGCAAUUCCACCGCGCGCUCCCUCUCUCUCUCUCUCUCUCUCUCUCUCUACAAUGUCGUUUCUCCAGUUCUUCACCGCUCCUGGAUUUCUUUUUCAAAUUUCAAAACCCUCAUUCUCUCUCCCCUCACCCUCUCUCUUGACGUCUUCCUGCGAUUCCUCCUUUGAGUGCAGGCCAGGCCUUCGUAGAUUGAGGGCACUCGGCCGAGUUCGUCGAUCAGAAAAUUACAGUGGAGAGAGAGAGAGAGAGAGAGAGAGAGAGAGAGAGAGAGAGAGAGAGAGAGAGAGAGAGAGAGAGAGAGGCGUGAAUGGAGGAUCCCUAUUGGAGAUACGGUGCUUCUGCAGAUAGAGGUUCUAAUUCUUUUGCCCUAACCCUAACUCUUUCUUCGUUUCUCUUAUCUCCCGCACGAAUUUUGAUACUCGAAAAUAUUUCAAUGUCACGUCUGAUUCAGAUAGAGGUUCUAAUUUUGAUACUCGAAAAUUCGUACUCCCCCACGAAUUUUGUACGUUCACGGUUUAUAGGCACGUUUGAACUCGGACCAGGAGAUCUUUACUUUAUUCCAGUGGUGUGUAUAGUGUUACGUGGACAAGAAGUGGUGAUAUUUUGAAGAACUUGUAGAAUUUUUACUUAGAGUACUUUUGAAGGCUGGGGGGACAGCGGCUCCCGCUUGCUGUCACCUCCGUCCGCCCUGCGAUUGCAUAUGCGACUGAAAUUUGUUUUUGUGAUGAAUGUGUGGCUUUAAUUAUAACCAAUUCAGUACUUAAAAUUGAACAUAUUGAAUGAUAAGUGAUUAAGUAAGUUUGAUCUUACUAUUUGCUUAUGUUUUUCUUUUGUGUUUCGUGGCAAAGGUGAACGAGAGCUAUAUUUCUGUCCAUUUAGUGUAAAAAUAUGUUCACCCCUUCCCUUUUUGCUUUUUGUUUUGAUUAUUGCAUACCACUAUCGAGGGAGGCGGCGAUAGUGGUGCUGUUGAGGUACCGGCAGCUGUCACCGAGCACGAGGAGGCUGUCAACUUCGCCGGGGAGGAGGUUGUCAGGUGGGAUUAGGGUUUUGCCGGCGAGCAUAGCUGCCGUAAUUCGAAGGUUUCGGAGGCACUUGCGGGGUCGGGGAAGGGGAGUAGGAAGAAUUGGGGUGAGUUACCGGUGGAGUCGGUCGCGGCCUCUCUUGAGGUGAAAGAGAAGGGUUCUGCCAAAAACUAGCUGGAUUAGCAAGCUAUUUUGCGAACUCAGGAGGCUUGGAACAAGUUUCAGAGGAACUCUUUUGAAUUUUGCCCUGGUCCUUUUACUUAAUUUGAAGAGGAGAAAAUUUUCGAGCUCUUCCAGCCGACAUAUUUUUCUCUGCUGCUACCGUGUGCAAGCUUCUUACCAGGUUGCCUUCUCUUUCAGUUCUAACAGUCGUGUACAAAAGUCUUACCAGGUUGCAGAGAGGAGUAAAGGUUGCAUUACUUCGUUGUCUUUCUUUAGUUUCAGAUUCAGAUGUCUCUCUUCUUUUUCGUCUGACAUGUUUUCCAGUUCUUUGUCGUGGAUUUCCUGUGAAUCAAUAUAGCUAGGGCUUAUCUUCUGUUCGAAUCAUUCCGAUAGGCAGGUCUCCUGCCACUUCUUUCGAUGGACCAAAGAAAUCGCAUAUGCAGAGUACUAUGAAAGAGCCCUCACGAAUGGUAUACUGGGCAUCCAAAGGGGAAGAGAGCCCGGAGUGAUGAUCUACAUGCUCCCACUAGGCCGUGGCGUUUCCAAAGCCAUAAGUUACCGUGGAUGGGGAACGAAGUUUGAUUCCUUUUGGUGCUGCUAUGGGACAUGAAUUGAGUUAUUCUCAAAGUUGGGAGAUUCAAUAGACUUUGAAGAAUAGGGCAAAGUUCCAGGGAUUUACAUCACCCAGUUCAUAUUGACCUCACAAUCUGGGCAAAUUCUUCUAAAGCAGAAAGUAGAACCUCCUGUUGUGUGGAAUUCUCUCUUUCAAGUGUUCUUGACAAUUCUGUCGGAGGAGGAAGGGUCCGGUCUGCAAGCUACCUUGCAUUUUCGUGUACCACUGUGGUCAUUAUUGAAUGGUGCAAAGGCGGUAUUAAAUUGUCAGGAUUUGUCUCCACCAAAUCCAGGUCUGAACAUUGUUUUCUCUUUUCCACAUCCUUACUGAAUUAUGUCCUGCUGUUUAAACAUAUCGUUUCUGCAUCGUUUAUCUUCUACUCUUCUGGUUUCUGACAAGUCAUAACAGUUUUUUGGAAGGCCUCGGUGUUCACUUGUCUAUGUAUUUAUGCUCUAUGUUUUGACUUUUUGAAACUGAUUCAAUUGAUAAAAAAGCCUCAACUCGGUAAAAUGGCCUCCCAACAAGACGUUUCAAGUUCACCUACUCAUUUUGUCAGUUUUAAUCUUACUAUAACGUUGGUAACUCUACCAUGUUUCACAUUUCUAUGUAGAAUUGAAGACGCUAGAGACAAAUAUUCUAUAAUAGCUCAAAAGCAAAAUUAUUAAAUUAAAGACUUUAAGAUCUAUAUUUAAACUCUUAAAGGCCUCACACUAAGAUUGGGCCGUCUCUGGUCUUGUGAGCCCUGCCGUUGCUGGAGAGGUGAUGGUUGCUUAUCACCCCCCCUCAAAUGAGUGGGUGGACCACCAACCAGAAGCUUGGCUUGAAGUUCAUGAAACUGUGGAAUAGAGAGAGCCUUGGUAAGAACAAUAGCAAUGAUCAGAGGAGGAGACACGGCCAGUGAAAAGUUAUUUCCCAGCAACCUUUUCGCGAACAAAGUGGUAAAUCUACUUCAAUGUGUUCAAGCAUGGAAUACGGGGUUUGAAGGCAAGGAAAUGGCAGACAUUGUUGCGCCAUAGCGUGGGAACAGGAGAGGAGAGAUGCAUAUCCUUGAGCAGCAUUAGGAACAGAAAGAUUUUCUAUUUAAUUACAGUCAUCAGCUAGAAAACUUCAACCUCUGAACUCUCUCUGUACUUUUGCACUCAAUCUGAUGUUUUUCUUGUGAUCUUGCAUACAAGUGCUUUAACAAUUUGCAUUGCUGGAGUUGUCAAGGAUCGGGUGGGUGUCUUACUAUCAGCACUUCUCUUUGCAGAUAUUCAAAUAUGAUGAUCAUAAAUCUGUUUGGUUAUGGCAUUGGUAAUAUACUUUUGUUUAGUUCACUUUAAUUGGUCGUUAAAUUUUUUGCGUUAGUUGUAUAAUUCAUGUUUAUGCCUUCACUAUGUCCCCUUCAUGUUGCCCACUUGCCCUCGUUACAAUAAAUAAAACGGAUUGUCCACAUUAGUUCACUCCAGGUUAUACCAGAAAUUUGAGCAUGUCAUACUCUUACUGUCUUACAACUGCCAUUACAUUGGUCAUCAUCGAUUGCAUUGUUGAUAAAUAUUCCUGCAAUAGCUUAGAUGUAAUGAAGUUCCGUCUUCUUGAUGUGGGAUGUUCACACAUCGGGAAAUCCCUGUCCCCUGUUUCACCAUUGGUUGUGCCGUUUUCAUAUUUCCUCGUGCACAAUGCUUAUGACAUUGUGUUAUUUGGCUGUCGUGUUCCUCCUCUUCCAAAUUACUCAUUGUUCUAUUUUUUAUAAAGUUUUGCACUUUGAUUCCGAAAUUGACCAAUUGCACGAUCCUGAUGACUAUGAGAACCCUGGGGCAGAAAUGAAACCACAUGCUGUCUACCAUUAGUACUUGAGCAUGUUCUGUAUGGUGUUGGCUUCUUGAAAAUUCUAAAUGAAAAAAAAUGAAAGGAGAGGAGAGGCAAAAAAAUUUCAUUCAGUUCCCUUUCCAGAAAUCCAUAAUUGGAAGAAAUCUUAAAGGAUGAUAAUUUCCAAUUUGUUUGUUAAGUAGGUCUUCUUAAAAUAGGAAUUAAGGCUACAAUAUCCUCCCAAAAGCAGUUAAUAGUUUAUUACUGGUAUGGGUGUCUGUGGAAUCUCCUUCUCAUGGGGUGGUUUGAAUUUUGAAACUUGUGCCUGUAUGAAUCUUUAUUGUGUUGAAUGUAUUGUGUGGCUGUUACUGUAACUGCACUUAGAUGUUUAUUUUCCUUGGGCAGAAGAAACUGUUUGUUCUUUUAUGCAGCCACUGAAGUUGUAGCUGCAGCUGUGUGUAACAACCACAAGUUAAAAAAGGAAGCCACUUGAGGCACUUCCAAUGAGUCUCGACAUACUGAAUCUAUAACAUUUACUUCAUCAUCAACCACUGAGAAAUCGAUUAAUGGAACCGGUCUCACGUUUUUUGAGCUGCUUCGACUUGGGGAGGGUUUCAGAAACAACACAGGCAGUUGUGUACCAAAUAUGGUUGGAUUUGCUGACUGGAUUGAUUGAACGAAACAAAAGAAAAUUCGUGUAACCGGGUAAUGUAGCUUGCUGUGAAAUGCAGGUUGAAAGAGGAACCUUUGACCUUUGGUGCUUUUUGUGUCUUAAAGCAUCUACUUUCCAGGUUGUCUGAAGCUUGGCAUAGUAAAAGGCCUUCACUUGUUGAAGCUGUAAGGUUGUUGCUAGAUGAAAAAAAUUUGGCUGUCCGUAAAGCUCUUUCAGAGUUGAUUGUUGUCAUGGCUUCGCAUUGUUACUUGGUCGGUCCAUUCGGGGAGUUGUUUGUUGAAUAUCUUGUGCGCCACUGUGCUAUAUAAGAUAAGGACAGAAAUGAUUUGAAAAGGUCAAAGGAAGCCGUUAGGCUAGCUGGCACAUAUUAUGUUCUCCCUUACAAGAGAUAUGGGGUGAAGAUUGGGGUGGUUUGUCCAAUAGAGCUACGGAAAAUUUGUGAAAAAAGGUCUACAUCUAGUGACUAUUACUGUUCUUGAAAUGGAGCAUGUCGUCUGGCCUUUUCUAUUGAAGAUGAUUAUUCCAUAGGUCUAUGCUGGUGCAGGUUCCACGUUUUGCAGAUGCAUCUCUGAGUUGUGUAGACAUAGAUCUUCUUAUAUUAAGUACAAUGCUUACUGAGUGUAAAGCUCGAGCUGAUAUUCCAAACCUUGAGGAACUCUUUGCCCGGUUGGUGGUGCUCAUGCAUGAUCCUCUUGCUCGGGAGCAGCAGGCCGCUCAGAUUUUGACUGUUUUGUGCUACCUUGCACCUCUCUGCCCAGAAAAUAUCAACUUGUUUUGGCAAGAGGAGAUUCCAAAAUGAAAGCCUAUGUGAGUGACACUAAAGACCUAAAGUAGGAUCCUUCAUAUCAAGAAACAUGGGAUGACAUGAUAAUCCAUUCACUAUUUUUUGGGGAAGUGGGGGAAGGCGGUAGCGGAAGUGACGAAGAAGGCCGAGGAUCCUGCUAGGGAUAUGUUGCAGCAUUGUACUAUGUACGGCGGACUCAUCGAUGCAUGAUUUAAGAGUCAAGACCAUGGUGUUAAGUCAGCACCGCCUCACUCCGCCAUAGAGAAAACCUUCGGCGGCAACCACAUCUCCACCAUCACUACUCAGUUCGGAAUUUGGUUGUGUAUGAUCAGAUUUCAUUUUGGGGGUUGAUAAAAUAGAAAUACUCUUUGGUCUUCCUGAUUUUGGCAAAAAAGUAUGUUCGCAAAUUCAAUCCAUGAAAAGGUAAUAUUCCGUAACUCUUUUUUUCUUGAUUUUGAUACCAUACCAGUUUUCUUUGCUUGAGUUGGGAAGGGAUGUGGUUGAAAUUCUUAUACUUCAGUGAUUUCUAAUGACAUGAAUGAUCACGACCAUUCGGUGAAGAACAAAAGGAAGCAUACGAAAGCUUUAUAGCACGAGCACGGACACAAACACGGGACACGACAAUUCUUAAAAAAUGGAGAUACAGACACAGCGGGGGGCACGCCACGUGUAUAAAAAAAUAAAAAUUAAUUUUUUAUGAACGUAUAUGAAUAAUUUCACAAAUUGCAUAAUUUUUUUUUCAAAGGCAUAAUUACAGUUUAACCCGAAUAUUUUGAAUAAUUACAUAUUAACCCCAAAAGUUAAAAAUAUUACAUUUUGACCCAGUCGCUUCUCGGCAUGUCCCCUUUGAAAAAAUAAUAAAAAUUAUGGCGUGUCCAAUACGUGUCUCCGCCGUGUGCCUAUGUCCAAUACGUGGAUAUGACACCCUUUUGGAGUGUCGGUGCUUCAUAGUAUGAAAGUGAAGGAAAAAAAAGAGAAGUUUGUGAUUGAGUUUAACAAGAACACAAUUGAAAAAAUUAGUGGGACCUCACUUUUAGCUAUCAUAUAUGUGUAUAUUGGUUUCUAAUGCGAUUUUAACUGAACAUGGUCAUAUGACUGAUUAUGGAACUUCAUUGUGGUAACAUUGCUUCUUCCUAACAAAAAAGAUAUCUUUUUUUAUAAAUUUUCAUUGAUAUGUCGUCCGUAUUGCUUAUUGUAUUGGCAAUUACUUGCAAACCAUUGUUGCUGCGUUUGCUUAUGAUCCAGAGGAGUAUAGUGAGGUUCUAAUAACUCAUUCAGCUCACAAGUUUUAGGCAAAAAUCCUUUUGAAUUUGAUCUCUAUUCUUUGCUGCUGUAUUUAGUAGUGUAACAUACUGCAAUUGGUUAGUUGAUUGAUUAAGAUUUUAAGAGAACCAUUUAUGAAUCACUUUGGGGCCUUUGGGCUAUUGGAUGAAAAGGUAACUGUGUUGGUUUGUUUUUUUUGGUGUUGGGAAUGGUAGAAGUGUCCAUGAGGAUGUAACCUCCGUAUUUAGGUUUCACGCAUCUUUUGUCCUUUAUUCUCGAAAGUUUUUUUUCUUCCUUUAUUCUCGAAAGUUUAUUUUCCUAACCUUUCGUCCUCAUUUUUGGGCUUAUUUCAAUUUUUUUUUCAUGGAGACACUCGAUCAAAACUAUCAGGCUCUAUUGAUUGCUGUUUUUGGUAUCUUUUUAUUUGGAUUUUUUAUUCAUAGCACUGAAAACUUGUUUGUUUAACGGUUUCAAAACUUGACAUCCUUUUUGGCUCAAUUUUUCCAAUUCGGCCCUUUGUUGUGGUGAUGUAGGGCAAAACUAUGAAUCAGUGAGCAAAAGUGCAGCAAGGACAUUCACAAACGAGAUAGAUUUAGAGAAACUCUCUCUAGAAAGAUUCAAUAAUAAUCAAAAACUGUUUAGCCCUAAGCCUUACAACUCAUUAUAUAGGGAGCAAACCCUAACCCUAGCUGGAAAAAGAAAAAAUACUAAUUUUGGAAAAACCCAAAAUUAUUAUAAAUUCAGAAAAUAUAGAAAAAUCUAAGACUUCUCCAGAAAGAACGGACUAAAACAAAAAUUCCUACUAAAAAUUACAACGAAAGCACAUAUUUCCUUAAAUGGCAAAAUUUCUCUUUCGGAGGUUUAAACGGCCUUAAACGGCUAAAAAACACACGGCACAUGGCCGAAGAUGAUGUUUCUUGACCGUUGGGCCGUUUCGGUUCAAACCUAGGUAGGCCCAACUCCUAAUUCCAUCGUCGCAUCGCCGCAUAUUUACAAUUUUGUUACUCUAGGGUUAAAAUGUCUAAAGUGAUAUUCUUCCUCCAUGGCAACUGCAUCAUGUGGUUUCCACCUAUUUUGUAAGUGGGGGUUAUGGUCAUUUCAUAGCAUUUGCGAGGAUUACCAUUAUGCCUUUUUAAACUUUUAACAUUUUCCUAAUAUGUCCUUUUUAAUUACCUUAUUUUUGUCGGCUUCUCCUGGUUUUUACGAGGGUAUCUAUGGAAAAUGGGGGUGGCGUUGGUUAGUGAAUGGUGGUACAGUGGUUGGCGGUAUGCAGACAGAUGAUGGCAAAGCUGUGGCAGUGAUGGUUGCAGCUUUCGGCAGGUGAGGUAAAACAGGAAGUCCGCUUCAUAGAACUUGGCACUUUCUUCUCCAAUGUAUUUUGACUUCCCACCCUUUCUUAUUAUUAUGUAAGACAUGGGUGGUUAUUAUUUAACGCUUUCGGCAAGUGAUGUAUGAUUAUAAGUGAUGAUUAUUUUAUCUUUUUUCUCGUACUAAUGUCUAGAGUUUCUAUUAUCACUGCUAGAGAAUGAUUGGAGAUCAUUGCCUCACUGAUUCUGCUUUAUUUGGGCUCCACAUUCGGGUGAGUUUUCUAUGAAAUGAUCUAUGGAACAAUGAAGGGUUGAUAUGUUGUGCCGAAUAGUUUUUCUUUUCUGACCAUGUGUUUGUUUGAUCAUCUAUUUGAGAGACCUUAUUCUUUCUCCAAUUUUUAUUUUUAUGUCUAUAGACUCUUGGGCCUAUGCUUCACUGUAGGCCCUACCCCUACGCAUGAAAUCAUUUUGCAGCUAAAAUUGGGCAACAUCUAGAAUCGAAAACUGAAUCUAUUACCAUGUCUCCCAACAAAUUGAUUUAGUCGAAUUAAGAGUACGACCCACUAGAAACCAUUCUUAUUCAAGUAUCGGUGCAUGACCUCUCUUUAGCUAAAAUCCUGCUUAUUCAAGAGAGAUCACGCUUAUUGUGGUCAGCUAAAACCAUGCUUAUUAACGUUGCUUUGGUGCGUGACCUCUCGUGAAUAAGCAAUAUUACCACCAGUGUGGGCAAUGUGCCCUUAAAAAGAUUCCGUUCUUUUUAAUGCCGGAUCGAGGUAGCGCUAAGUGGGACGAGCGCUCGUAAUUCAGAGAGUCGCCACUUGGGUUUGAAGGUCCGACACCUAAGGAACCGAAAUUCGAAACGCUUUAUACUCUGUUUUCUGAUUUGAAAAAGUGAAAGCACCGGUCCGUCAUAACCAUAUCUGGGUUCGGGAGCCAGGUUACGAGAGGGGAAGGGUUUUAAGGCACUCCUCUCGCCCAAUUCGGAGAUUGGUCUAUACUUAGGCAUUUUGUGAAAAUUAUUGCGAUUCUUCUCUUUAUUAAUCAAUUUUUAGCCAUUUAGGGUGGGAGAACAGAUUAAUGGGGUUAAAACUAUAACAAUUUGCAAGAUGUGAUUGGAAUAGCAUGGAUGGAUGAAAUGAUGAACCAUAAAUGGAAUAUGACCCAACACAGUGAAGAAAGAUCAAAACAGUGCAUUUAUUUGAAGUUUGACGCGAACAGAAGCCAGCUUGCAUGCAUGGAUUUACGUGCAUGUAAGCCAACCGGCGCGCGCCAUUCCCAUAUACACGCGCGUGUAUUGAUCUCUUCUCAACAGGUUUGAUUUUAUUUCCUUCUGGGCUCUGGAAUGACCAGUACAUAUCCAGGGGGCAAGCCAAGCAGUUUAUAUGCCCAGACAACAAAUAUAAAUUACAGACAUGAUGAAUUUAAUUGAAAUACAACCCCUAAACAGUGGGGGUAUUAAAACAGAGACCAAAGGCCUAGCUACCCAUGCAAAGCCAACCACUGGCAGUAAAUUAACAUGAGCGCGCAGAUCAAGGACAAGCGCGCGCUUGUUCUGAUUGGACUUCCAGUAAUUGGUGGUGCAUGCUUGGGCUCUGAGACAUGAAUCAGAAACCACCCAGGGGUAUUCCAAAGCAUCAUAAAAGCAUAUUGAGCUAGUUUUUAAUAAACUUGCACAUAAAACAGUAAAUAAAUUUUAUCAUGCAUCAAGGUGAUUUAUAACAUAAUAAAAACAUAAAAUGACCAAAACCCCUGUCCCCACGAGGAUCAGCGCGCGCUAUCGAUGAGGAGGAUUGAGUGGGUAGAGAACAUGGAGGAGCAACCAGCCAACAAGGCUGGUUGGCCUUGCUUGGUGGAGAAAACUCCCCAAAAGUUGAUGGGAGUGGGUAUGCCCUAAACUUGCCAAAACACUAUUUAGGCGACAAAAUCCGAGCACUAUGGGUGUAAUAGACCCCUGAUGAUCACAAAAUCCAGCUUGCGAAAAGGUGAAAGGGACAGGUAUGGACCGGUGCGCGCAUUACCAAGACAGGCGCGCGCGUGUGCCACCUACCACUGCGCUGGUCAAUAGUCAAAGCUUUGACUGUUGACCACCACCUGGCAAGUUGAUUGACGUGCGUGGAAGCCAGAGCAACGCACGCUGGGCAAACCUAGGGCUAGGGUUUUGACUUAGGAUUUUGGGGUUCAAAAGGGGUUAUAAACACUCCAAGAUCAAUCCUUUCCGUUCUCAAGUAUGUUUUUGAUCCAAUUCAUCAUCGAGGAAACAAGAAACCGAAAAACAAUGUAAAUCAAUUGGGAGACCCAGAUUGGGGUGUCUACGACCAGAAACCAUGCUUAUUCACGUAUCGGUGCGUGACCUCUCUUGAAUAAGCAAUUGUGGCAGCAUGACCUCUCUUCAGCCUUUUGAGAUGGGCUAAGAGCAAAGAUCUUGUAUGCAUUGACAUUCUCACAUGUUGCACUGAAGUGGUCAAUGCUUUGCAAAAUUUUUAUAUUGUUGCAAAAUGUCAUAUUAGAUUGUAGGCUGUUAGCCUUAGCCUUUGAGUUUGUUUCUGUAAUCAAGGCCACCAAUAGUACGUGCACCUAGCCCACAAUCUUGUCCAGACUAGCCUAUGUAAUAGGUAUUUUAUGUAAUGGAUGACUUAUGCUGUUUGGUUCUGAAAAAAAUGAACAAUUCAUACGUAUAUAAAUGUAAAUUAUUAGAUAUCAAUCUACCCAUCGAAAUAAAAAUCCUUAAAAGCUACGGGCACAAUUUUAUCAUACAAAGCAAAAAGUCAAGACUGCCCCCAAGCAUUACCCUAAUCUCCCCCAUUAAGGGGCUCAAUUGGAAAAAUCUCGCCAAACUUUGACCGACCAGAAAUUCAGCUUCAUAACCCAGAAAUACAAGGAAGGAGCUAUGUCUAUUCUUCAGUUUUUCUUUGAAUUUUGUAGGCAUCAAAGAUCUAAUUAGUAAUUUGUUAGAUUAAUCUUGCACUUCCUUUGUCAUCUGAAACUGAAUAGUUUGGCACCGUUUUGUUUCAAUCCCUUUAGCUGGUGCAGGUCAUUGAUGGUGUUCAUCAUUGAAGGCUCCAAGGUAGAUCUUGUUAUAGAAACACAGUCUUGAUACACUUUUGUUAAGAUUUUAGUACUUUGUUCUUGUUUAUUAUGAAAUUCUACAAAUGAGAUAUGCAUAUGUGUGCUUUGUGUAACUGUAUUCCGUUCGGGAAAAAAGGGUACCUUUACUGACUACAUUUGCUGGAGUAGUAACAAAAAAAGAAGGAACAAAUCAAUUGUCUAAGGGGAGGGUAUGUCUUAUCAAUACACUUGUAUUAAAAGAGCCAAUGUUGCCUAGCCAAGCCAUGAUGCGAAAAUAUGAAACUACCCCUUGUAGGAUUACCCUUGUAGCUUGAGUUUGAGGGUAGGAUCGUCCUUUUGCAUUGUUUGAAAGAUCUGUUGGGCAAAAGGGCCACACCGAAUCGUUUUCCGGGUAAAAGCUGCCUCGCCGUUGGGGUUGAGAGAGGAAUGCUUGGUUCCCCGGAGUUAGCUCGACCAAAUUGUAUUAUGUUUUUUGGAUUUUAGUGAAAUUGUGUACUUCGUCAGUUUUUCCAACGCGAUUUAAAGAGAGAGAGAGAGAGAGGGAGGAAUGCUUGGUUCUCCUUAAUUUACUCAACUAAUUGAACUUUCUCAGCUUCUGAACGUGGCUUUUCAGUGUGAGUUUUGCUGAAAUUAAAGCUUGGAUGGCGGAAUCGACAAUAGAUGAAGAAUUGACCUAGGGUUUCCAGUAAGCUUCCAUAGAAGGCAUUUCUCUGACUGCAUGGUUCACAAGCUCAAUUGGUCUCUACCGUACUUCAAUUGAAUUCACUGGGUGUGAUGGAGCUAUUUUGUGGUGAUUCAAUAAGGUUCUUAGAUCUCUCUACCUCUGAAUCCCUCGUUGAAACCCUCUCAUUGGAUGUUCUGGAAACAUUCUAGAAUUAAAGGUUAUGCACUUGAACUUGAUAUGACUGCAAGGGAAAUUCAAGCUUUUGCAAAGGUGAAGAUAGCACAAGAGCUAUUACUAUCACAUCUCUGGCAAGUAAGGAGUAGAGUCAGUAACGGAGUUGACCUUCUUGUAAGGGUAUCUAUGGAAAAUGGGGGUGGUGGUGGUUAGUGAAUGGUGGUACAGUGGGUGGUAUGCAGAUGAUGGUAAAGUUGAUGAUGGUUGCAGCUUUCGGCAGGUCAUCGAUGGUGUUUAUCCUUGAAGGCUAAAUGUUUCAAGGCCGAGGUCAAAAUUCAUCAAGUAUGAUGCCAUUAGCCAUAACUGAUGCAUUCAAUAUUUUCAAGAUUUAAUUAUGCAAGGUAAGUUUAAGGUUUGAUGCUUAUUUCCAUCUCCCAAAUUUCUAGGGGAAUGAAUUAGUGUGGACACCAAGUCUUCUGGCUUGCUGUAGCCUGGUUUUGGUACCAAGGAAGUGGCCAAAGCAAUUU